UUCAGAAUUCAAUACAUCUGUAUAUGCAUAUCAAAUUAUCAUCUCCUCCAAUUCUCUCUCCUUCCGUGCUCUUGGGUUACUACACGUUAUUGAGCCCAUUAACUUUUAUUCUUGACUAGUAAGGUUCAGUUGUCUAAGAGGUGAAAUUUAUUUGAGCUUAAUUUCUAUGGCAAAAGAUGUCCAAAAGCAUAGAAAAUUAUUAAAGACUGUGUUCAGCAGCAAGUUCCAAAGGCUCCAAAUACUGCAACAGCCAUACUCAGAAUGCAUUUUCAUGAUUUCUUUGUUUGGUUUGGUCUUUGCAGGGUUAUGAUGAAUUUGUUCUUCUUAAUUUCACUUCAAGUAUUGGAAAUCAGAUUGAAAAGCAAGCCAAUUCUAAUCUUGCAUUGAGAGUCUUUUCAUUCAUUGAUGAUGUAAAGAUAUUACUUGAAGUUGAAUGCCCUGAAGUUGUUUCUUGUGUUGAUAUUGAGCCCGUUUGGAUGUGCUUAAAAAAAAAUAACUUUUAUGUAUGAAGUGCUUUUAGAACUUUAAAGUGUUGAAAGUUAUUUUUAUAAAUAAGCAGUUGAGUGUUAGGAUAAAAGUGCUUAAAUGAGGAAAAUUAUGUGAAUUUUAGGGUAAAAAGAAUAAAAAGGGUAGUUUGGGAAUGUAGUUAAAAUAUAAGGGAUAUAAAAGUAAUUUCCAUGGUCAAAGAAAAUGACUUUAAGCACAUAGAAAAAAAAAAGUUAGGAAUCCUAACUUUUCAUUUUUGAUUGACUUUAAGAACUUUCUAGCUUAAAGUUAGCAUUAGGCAAACACGUCCAAAAGCUGAAAAGAGACUUUAAGUUGGUUUGACCAACUUAAAGCCAAUCCAAACGGGCUCAUUAUCGCGUUGGUUCCUAAAGGCAAUUGUGGUUAUAGUAAGUGUAA